UGGGGGAUAUUGCUCAAUGGGCGAAAGCCUGAUGCAGCGACGCCGCGUGGGGGAUGAAGGCUUUCGGGUUGUAAACCUCUUUCGCUAUCGAACAAGGCCCGCUUAGGGUGGGUUGAGGGUAGGUGGAGAAGAAGCGCCGGCUAACUACGUGCCAGCAGCCGCGGUAAUACGUAGGGCGCGAGCGUUGUCCGGAAUUAUUGGGCGUAAAGGGCUUGUAGGCGGCUUGUUGCGCCUGCUGUGAAAACGCGGGGCUUAACUUCGCGCGUGCAGUGGGUACGGGCAGGCUUGAGUGUGGUAGGGGUGACUGGAAUUCCAGGUGUAGCGGUGGAAUGCGCAGAUAUCUGGAGGAACGCCGAUGGCGAAGGCAGGUCACUGGGCCAUUACUGACGCUGAGGAGCGAAAGCAUGGGUAGCGAGCAGG
rnacentral:rRNA from 1 species